rnacentral:rRNA from 1 species
CCUACGGGAGGCAGCAGUGAGGAAUAUUGGUCAAUGGACGAGAGUCUGAACCAGCCAAGUAGCGUGAAGGAUGACUGCCCUAUGGGUUGUAAACUUCUUUUAUAUGGGAAUAAACUGUUCCACGUGUGGGUUUUUGUAUGUACCAUAUGAAUAAGGAUCGGCUAACUCCGUGCCAGCAGCCGCGGUAAUACGGAGGAUCCGAGCGUUAUCCGGAUUUAUUGGGUUUAAAGGGAGCGUAGGUGGAUUGUUAAGUCAGUUGUGAAAGUUUGCGGCUCAACCGUAAAAUUGCAGUUGAAACUGGCAGUCUUGAGUACAGGAGAGGUGGGCGGAAUUCGUGGUGUAGCGGUGAAAUGCUUAGAUAUCACGAAGAACUCCGAUUGCGAAGGCAGCUCACUGGACUGCAACUGACACUGAGGCUCGAAAGUGUGGGUAUCAAACAGGAUUAGAUACCCUAGUAGUC